rnacentral:rRNA from 1 species
AACUGGAGGGUUCGGCAAUAAAUCACAAUGCGGGACUAUCAGUCUUGCAAUUGGAUUGAGAACAAUGUACAACUCUUAUCGAUAAGCCAUUGGAGGGCAAGUCUGGUGCCAGCAGCCGCGGUAAUUCCAGCUCCAAUAGCGUAUAUUAACGUUGUUGCAGUUAAAAAGCUCGUAGUUGAAGUGUGGGUGAUCGCUGUUGUGAGACUUCGGUCUCUCGACAGUAAGUCACCCCCUUCCAGUAUCCAGUAGUGGGUAUUCAGUUACUUACUAUUGUGUGUUGGUCCUUUACUGUGAGAAAAUUAGAGUGUUCAAAGCAGGCGUUUGCUUGAAUAGAUUAGCAUGGAAUAAUAAUUGAAGGCUUUCGUGUUCGAUUUGAUUGGUUUGUUCAUGGAAGCAAGGUUAAAAGGAACAGUUGGGGGUAUUCAUAUUCACUAGUAGUAGGGAACUGUCUCCUC